UACGGAGGAUGCGAGCGUUAUCCGGAUUUAUUGGGUUUAAAGGGUGCGUAGGUGGAUCGUUAAGUCAGUGGUCAAAUUGAGGGGCUCAACCCCUUCCCGCCAUUGAAACUGGCGAUCUUGAGUGGAAGAGAAGUAUGCGGAAUGCGUGGUGUAGCGGUGAAAUGCAUAGAUAUCACGCAGAACCCCGAUUGCGAAGGCAGCAUGCCGGCUUCCGACUGACGCUGAAGCACGAAAGCGUGGGGAUCGAACAGG
rnacentral:rRNA from 1 species